UUUCCCUUGUGCCGCGUGCCCCCCCGCCCCCCCUCUCGACUGCCCUUGCCCAAACCUCGGGGUGCGCCCUCACCCUCCCGGGUUCCCCAGGGCGCCCGGACCCUCGGCCAGAUGGUCAUCGAGUGAGUGCCUACCAUGUGCCAGAUGUGUGCCAGGUGCUGGGAACACAGCAGGGGCGAGACAGACUGCCCGCAUCAAGUUUACAUAGGGAAGGGGAGGACAGUGUCUAUGCUCCAUGCUGGGCUCCAGCACAGGGCUUGAACCCACAGCCCUGAGAUCAAAACCUGGGC